CCACUGUGCCCAAUCUAAUUUUUAAUUUUUUUGUUUGUGAGACAGGGUUUCAUCAUGUUAGACAGGAUGGUCUCGAUAUCCUCACCUCGUGCUCUGCGGACAGGCAAGUGUGGGAGCUACAACUGCACCUAGGCCACAAGGAACAAAGGGAGACACAGUGUUAUUGGAACACUCACAAAAUUGCCUUCCCUUUCAUACUGGUCCUGUGCCCUUCAAACAUUCUCACCGUCCUUAGGAUGAACCACUCCUCAGAGCCACGCAAAGACCCCCUGAAGAAGUCAGGACAUUCUCUGUAUGUCCAGCUUGUAUAUGAAUCUCAGGAUGCACACCGCUUGCAUUUAAUGAAGCCCUCCUAUUAUACAGUUGCUACUUCCUGAAUCCUUUCAGUGUGCAGUAUACAUGGUGAGUUGUGGUAACGCUACAAAACUCCCCACCCUCACCGUAAACCACGGAAGGCGUCUGGCCUCUUCCUAUAGCAGAGCUUUGAGAACUUGGGCAUCUUACUCUCCCUAGCCUUCUGUAGCUUUCCUUCUGGGUAGGUUCAGAAGAGCGAUGCAUUCUUGUGUUUUCGUGAAGAAUUACAUGUCAUAUACCAUUUAUGAUGGUACGAACUAAGAAAAGAUAGGAAGUUACCA
rnacentral:lncRNA from 1 species